rnacentral:rRNA from 1 species
AAGCUCGUAGUUGAAUUUCGGGGUUAGUAGGUUGGUCAUGCCUCCGGUAUGUACUGGUCUCACUGAUUCCUCCUUCCUGAUGAACCGUAAUGCCAUUAAUUUGGUGUUGCGGGGAAUUUGGACUGUUACUUUGAAAAAAUUAGAGUGUUUAAAGCAAGCUAACGCUUGAAUACAUUAGCAUGGAAUAAUGAAAUAGGACGUUCGAUCUUAUUUUGUUGGUUUCUUAGGAUUGACGUAAUGAUUAAUAGGGAUAGUUGGG